GUCCUCUUAGUUAAAUGGAUAUAACGAGCCCCUCCUAAGGGCUAGUUGCAGGUUCGAUUCCUGCAGGGGACACCACUC
rnacentral:tRNA from 1 species